UUGCGACGGUUAUCUCACCUGCCGCACCUCGCAUAUUUAAAUUCAUAACAAUCACUUCACGUUCCUACCCCUAAAUCCAUCCUUAAAUGCAAUAACAAUGUAAACGAAAUUUUACGACUGUUGCUCCACCCGCCGCCACCCAAAUAUAAAGUUGGCUACCUUCCCCCUAAAUUCUAAAGCGCGAAUAUCAAAGGGUUUUUUUUAUUAAUUUUUCUCUUCUUCUUCCUCUAUCAUCUUCAACCGACCAUCAAACAUGAAUAUAUCCUAUCAAUGAGUUUACUCAUUCUGCUACCUUAAACGACUAACUUUUUUAUUAAGAAACUUCUCAAGUGCGACGAGUAUUUGAUUCUCCGAUUUUCUACAUUAAGAUUACGCAAAGGCAAAAGCCUGGUUUUGGAUUCCACCACCAUCCUUGCAAACGCUCCUGAGGUAAGUAACUCAUAACUAUUAUCUUUUUGAUCAAUUUGGAAUUUAUUUUUAUUAUUAUUAUUGUAAUUGUAACCUUAACUAAUGAAUGCUAAGUUAAGGUUCUUAAUUGAUAAUGCUUAAUGUAAUUGUAACCUUAACUAAUGAAUGCUAAGUUAAUUAGGUUCUUAAUUGAUAAUUCUUAAUGUCAUGUUUCUUCAAAAUCAUAGGUUUAAAAUGGUUGCAUCCACUGCCAUGACUACUUUGUAAUGUCCAUUCAAUAACAUGUUUUGAGAUUUUGUUUGAGAAAACAUGUCACUGGUUGCCAAUGUCAUUCCCCGGCAGAAUAUUCUGCAUACCAAGAAAUUAUAUUGCAUGGUUGUUUUAGUUAGAAGACAUAUUAGUGAAAAUGUUCAUUUCAUCCAUUCCAUAUAAUUUUCUUGUAGUAUAAUAACUUGAUUCAAAAGUAAAGAUGUGGACAAAUGUGGAAGUAGCAGGGCAAUAUGUGCAGUUGAAAUUUUAAUUGAAUUAUAAGAGAAAAGGCAUUCUUCUAAUAAAACACAGUUAGAUUAUAACCAGAUGAUAAUGUUAAAUCCUUUAUGAGUAUUGACAUUUAUAAAAAAGAAAACUAAUCACCCUAUUUAUAAGUGUAGUCAUUUUGAUUGACUCUCUAAGAAGUGAAUAAUUUAAAAUGGUCUAAAGGAUUCAAAGACUCUAACCAUCUUAAAUUUCAAAUGCUAAAGGAUUUGGAUACUGAUGACUUUCUUUGAAGUUUGAGAAGUCUUCACAAUUGCUUAAAUUAUAAUAAUUGCUUAUUUUAGUGUGCUAAGGUUUAUUUAAUAGGUUGGUUGGAUAGUUGUUAGAAUUGAUAGCUCUUACCAAGCACAUCAGUGGAUAAUGAAUAAUAACUCAUAUUUAUACCACAUGGUCACAUUGAUUAAGAGAGGCUAGCUGCAUGUGCUACGUUAAUUUUUUUUUUGAAUGAAACAUGAAUUGCUUGCUAUUUUAUAUGUAUAGAGAAAGUCAACAAUUAAGAAGAUAAUUACUUAUAGUUAGAUAACAUAUAAAUAUGUAUAAAUGUUUAUAUUUAUAUAACUUAUAAAUACCAAAGUUCUCAGUUCUCAUA